GUGUGCGGCUUGUGGAAGCUGUGAGCAGAACCACAUAUAUGUGGCGCUUUGGAGUGGAGCGUUGCUGUGUGGGUGCGGGAGAGUGAGGAUCCCCCCUUCUGACCACCAAGUUUGGCCACCCUUUGCAAGCGUAGCAGUGUGGUUUGUUGGCUGGGUAGAACCUUCCUGUCGCGUCUGUGGUAUUAAACACGAUUUACAACGACCAAAAAAUUAAUAUAUUGGCGAUCGAUGUUCAGGUCCACUUAACUGGCCAGUGAGGAGUCGUUUGACCCCUCACAAAUAGCGCCCACAACAUCGGCAGCCAGCGACAACAACAUCGGCCGCCAGCGCCAACAACAACAGCAGCUAGCAGCUACAACAUCGCCAGCGCCAACAGCAUCGGUCACCAGCGCCAACAACAACGCCAGUUAGCGCCAACAACAUCGCCAGCCAGCAGUUACAACAUCGCCAGCGCCAGCAACCUCAGCAGCCAGCGACAACAACAACAGCAGCUAACAACAAAACAAAACCCUCGCGCAUAACUUUGUAAAAACUUUUUACAGUUCACUUAAUAUGUAAGCUUAACCAAUAAUUGUAAGAUUUGUUAAGAUGUUAAGAUUUUAUAUUAGUACCCAAGAAUUAUCUUAAGCUAAGCUUUCCCCCUCCGCUCUCGCAUCAGCAGUAGCCACACACACACACACCAGGAGAGCAACGAAAUAUUCACCACGAUAGGUGCAGCGCCGCACAGGAGCAAGCGAGAGAGGACAUGCGAUCGAGGAGAAAAACAACCCCCGAAAAUUGGCACGCGCCAAGGGAAGAGCGAGAGAAAAGGAGUACCGAAACUUCGACAAGUGGAAAAAACCCAGAGCAGCCGAAAACUUGAACAAAACGCGGCGGCAAAGCUUGACGAGGUGACUUUUGGAAAACGCGGCGCACGGGAUCAGAAGUGUUAGCAGAGCAAAUUUGUGUGGACAACAGGAGUCUUUUGCCUUCGGGCUGAUGCCAAGUGACCCAGGAAGGAGUUUACCUAGACGACCUCGAGGAGAGUGUGCCGGCCCAGGACCAGCGGCGGAGCACCCGGAGUCACGCGUGUGUGUGUGCGUGAGAGCGAGACGGGUGAGUGAGUGGAGUGAACCGCAUUUUGGCCAGCGAGAGUCCCGUGCAAUGAGAAAUUUCUCGAAGGCCUCGAUGCGGCUUCGCCCAGAGUAGGCUAGAAUUUAUAAACCAUGACCUAACCUAACCCGUUAAUUGCGAGCACUGAGGAAAAAAACAUGAACCAAGAAUUUAAAUUAAGAAUAUUUUCUUACAUAUCUGAACACAAAAUUGCCGCUGCCAUGUUGUUCUUUUUCCCUUUGAAUACUUUGAUUUCCGAGCUGACUACACCGAGAGAAAGGGGUGGACCCAACUUUUGGAAACCUGUUGCUCAUUAAUUAAAUAAAAAUAUUUCUCAGAUAUUAAAAAAUCCAA